GCGCUUUUCAGAACGGCCCCGCAUCCCUAUAUUCGCAAUGCCGGCGCGAGCCGGAUAUGGCGAUAAACGGCCAUCGUAAUAAACCCUUCGGACCCGGGGGCGGUACCCGGCGCCUCCACCCGAGCCCAUUCGAGAGAGUGGGUUCCGGCGGGGGCGAAAUAGGAUCGACGAGGGCGUAAAGGGUGGGCUUUCGCUCGGCAUGGUUCCGCCGUUAUCGGGCCGAACCUAUAGUUGCGAAUGACAACUAUGCUCCGGUGGCUGUCGCCGCGUAAGCGGUGCCGGUACCGAAAUCAAAGUCCUUGCGGGUAGCACUGUAAGGCGGGGUUCGGAGGCACCUGGCAACAGAAGCCUCCACU
rnacentral:tmRNA from 1 species